CUGAUAGAGCGUGUCUGCACAUUACGGUAUAAAUAACUUCACUGGUACAUUCAUUACCACCUCUGACUAGACUUUGCCUCGCAAUCUCACCGUGCACACAGCAAUCACACCGCACACACAGCUAAUGACAACCACAGCUAAUGGUAAACCGUGUCAAAGCCUCGGCUUGAUCGGCAGGAACCCUUUACACCUUCCUGUGAAGAGAAGGUGAUGAGCUUGAGAACAAGUUCACUUGAAAGCACCAUAAACCCAGAAACUUGCCCACAAAGGACCACCGUGCCACCUUCCUGUACAAGUGAGCACAGCACAACAAGUGACAUGGUAAGGGGCCAAUGAUCCAGGCAUUAGCAGUAGCAGCAGCAGCAGCAGCUGUGGUUUGUGAGAGGAGAGCAUCUGAUGUUGGAGACUGAUCUGGCUGGCUGGCUAGCUGGCUGACUGCUAAGCUGCCAUCACAACAAAGUCCCAGAGGACAUACUUAGCCACUCUUCUCAGAUCCACCAUGAAGACAAAGCAACUCCCAUCUCUGUGUCGCUGGCUGGAUGCAGCACAGCCAGAAAUGAAAGUGUGGCUACAGCGCCAUCUGUUGGUCACAUACACUAGCACACAUACAGUACUAUGCCCUGAGUUGAAUACUAGAGGUGAAAAUAAAAACUUCCAUUUGGAGACUAGGUUUGCUAGAUUGAAUUAAAUGGAGAUAGCCAUUAUUCAUGGGAAGAAUCUCUGAGUGAAUGUGAUACAAUAUAGUACGUGCUUGGAAAGUGUGUCCUUGAGUGAUAACUUCAACACUACAUUCUUUACAAAGAAGAAAAAAACAUCUCAAAAAGAGAAUCCAUGCAAUUUUUCUAUCAAAUGAAAAUGUGAUAAGUUUGUGUGAUUUCAUUAUGACCAUGCCGGCCUAGUGAAAGGGUUUCAGCUGAAAGGAGAGGUUAAACUGCCUGCUAUUGAAAACACAUAGUCCUUGAGAAACAACCAGGAAGGCUUGAGCACACACUCAUGUACACACACACACACACACACACACACACACACACACACACACACACACACACACACACACACACACACACACACACACACACACACACACACACACACACACACACACACACACACACACACACCCCAUCAGAGGGCUUCUAUUGUGGUUUAGGCUUAUGGCAUUUAGGAGAGCUGUGAUCGCAGCACAGAGAGCACAGCAGACCACGGAUCACUUCAUCACAAUUAACUCAUUGUGUCUGCCACUUGUAAUGGCUCUAGCCCCACGGGAGAGGAGAGAGGGGUCAGGUGUGAUCAUGCUGACAGAGAGGGGUCAGGUGUGAUCAUGCUGACAGAGGGGUCGGGUGUGAUCAUGCUGACAGAGAGGGGUCGGGUGUGAUCAUGCUGACAGAGGGGUCUGUUCUGCUGUAUCCCUGCCCACUGGGCUCCAUCACCACAAGAAAGGAGGGAAGGUGCCCCUGCCCACUGGAGUCUGUUCUCAACACACCUAUAUCUACUCUCGCAGUCUGGAGUUAGGAUUAGAAAUAUGCUCCAUUUAAUGUAAAUAAUCAUUUGAAAUUGUUCUAAUGUGUCAAUUAAUUGAAUAAAUACAGCACAAAACAUGAACCUUAUCUCUGAUAUUAAUGCCUUAACACAUAAAACAACUAGGUGAGAUUCAGAUGUCCAUCAUGAUCCCUUACGGAUAGUCAGUAAUACAACUGUCUGGACUUCAGCACUAGAUUGGAACAGUUUGUCCAGCUCUCAUCUAUCACGCUGACAGAGCAUCCAGUAUUUCCC
rnacentral:lncRNA from 1 species